GUGCCCACAUGGCAGCACAUAUACUAAAAUUGGAAUGACAUAGAGAAGAUUAGCAUGGCCUACACAAGAUGACACGCAAAUUCAUGAAGUGCUCCAUAUUUUG
ensembl:snRNA U6 U6 spliceosomal RNA